GCCUGUAGCUCAGGUGGUUAGAGCGCACGCCUGAUAAGCGUGAGGUCGUUGGUUCAAAUCCAAUCAGGCC
rnacentral:tRNA from 1 species